AACUCAAGCUUAAAAUCUCUGUCRCAAAUUUAUUUUGUGCGGCGAAUUGUAGUCUAUAGAGGCGUGAUCAGUGUAGGCGCUUGAGGUAAGUUCCUUGAAAAAGGACAGCAUGGAGGGUGAAACUCCCGUUCAUACUUAAGUGGCUUGCACGUACGAUUCGUUUUCUUUGAGUCGCGUUGUUUGAGAAUGCAGCGCAAAGUAGGUGGUAAAUUCCAUCUAAAGCUAAAUAUUGGUGCGAGACCGAUAGCGAACAAGUACCGUGAGGGAAAGAUGAAAAGAACUCUGAAAAGAGAGUUAAAGAGUACCUGAAACUGCUGAAAGGGAACCAAAUCGUUUCUAGUGUCUAUAAUCUAUGACAUAUUUCAUUGGGAAGUGUGUGCGUGUGUAUACUAUGGCAGCGGCUUUUUUUAGUUGCGCUUGGUGUGCGUGCUGUAUGUACUAACUGAUGCCCUGUGUUAUAGUGGGACGUCAAGGUCAGUUUGUAUACUGCGGGAAAUGGCUACUGAGGAGGUAGGGCUUACGCUUGCGUUUGUCUAUUAUAUCUUGGUAGUUGUGUCGUGGUUGAGACUGAGGUGUUCUACAACGUGCUUAUGAGUGGGUCUACGUCUCCGUGUGCGCCGUGUGCAGAUAGCUUGCUAUGUGUAUGUGGUGGUGUGUGGAUUGAUAUGGGCUUUAUCUUACUGCCGUUCGGGACUUUGACGAAAUAGAGCGAUUUGACCCGUCUUGAAACACGGACCAAGGAGUCUAACAUAUGUGCAAGUGUUAGGGUGUGGAAACCCCAGCGCGAAAUGAAAGUAAAGGAUAGUGUAAACUAUCUUAGGUAGGAAACGUUAUGAACUUCGGUUUGUGGCGUGGCACUAUCGACCGAUCAUGAACCCUCGUGGUGAAAGAUUUGAGUUUGAGCACAUAUGUUGG
rnacentral:rRNA from 1 species